GUGCCAGCAGCCGCGGUAAUACGGAGGAUCCAAGCGUUAUCCGGAUUUAUUAGGUUUAAAGGGUGCGUAGGCGGACUUAUAAGUCAGUGGUGAAAUCCUGCAGCUUAACUGCAGCACGGCCAUUGAUACUGUAGGUCUUGAGUACGGUUGAGGUAGGCGGAAUGUGUAGUGUAGCGGUGAAAUGCUUAGAUAUUACACAGAACACCGAUUGCGUAGGCAGCUUACUAAACCGUUACUGACGCUGAGGCACGAAAGCGUGGGGAUCGAACAGGAUUAGAAACCCGCGUAGUCC
rnacentral:rRNA from 1 species